AUUCCUCCUAGCUCUGAAGGCUCAGUGACCUCAGCUGCUGUCCUACCUGCUCCUGCUCCGGAGCCUGCAGCGUUUCCACUGCUCAACCAUGCUCCUGCUGCUCAUCCCAGUGCUGGAGAUGGUUUUUUCCCUGAGAGGGACCGGAGCCCAGUCAGUGACCCAGCCUGACGUCCACAUCACUGUCUCUGAGGGAGCCCCUCUGGAGCUGAAGUGCAGGUAUUCAUCUUCUCUUCCAUCGUCUCUCUUCUGGUACGUGCAAUAUCCCAACCAAGGACUCCAGCUUCUCCUGAAAUACACGUCUGGAAACAGCCUUGUUUCAGGCAUCAAAAGUUUUGAGGCUGAAUUUAAGAAGAGUGACACCUCCUUCCACCUGAGGAAACCCUCAGCCCAUUGGAGCGACUCAGCUGAGUACUUCUGUGUUCUGGUGACACACAGUGCCUGGGACUGCAGGGGGAGCUGA